rnacentral:lncRNA from 1 species
UGCACGCUUAAGCGUCCACCUGCACGCUUAAGCGUCCAACUUCCAGUAGCUACUGUGACUGCACGCUUACCAGCUCGCUUACAGCACGCUUAAGCGUGCAUUCAUCAGACAGCAACUAGCGUCGCUUAAGCGACCAUUCAAAAUUCUGCAGAACAAAAGUUACGGGUUUCACCCAUUUUUCACCCAAAACUCCCAAUUUUGAUCUCCCAAUACCCAAACAUGUUUCCAAAGAAUGUUUAUAGGUCAUAUAACUCACAAGGAUACUCGAAAACACAUUGAACAUGAAAAUCAAUCUCACUUUUAGCCAAUUCACCAAAUCAACCCAUUUACAUAAAACACCAACAACAAUUCAAAUUCUCAUAAUCAAUUCAUGAAUAUGCAUACCCAAGCAAUGAUUCAUCAACUACAACAUCAAUUAACAACCAUAACAUCAAUUGAGCAAGAAUCAAAUCCCAAAUUAACAAUAACUUAGCAAAAUUCACCAAUUGAGCACCAUUUUCACAACUUAUCAUUUUUACAUAUUUGAACAUGUAAUUUCACCAACAAUCAUACAAUUAUCAUCAAUUCAUGCAUACAAACAUAACAUCACAGUAAGAGCACGAAUCUAGCAUGAAUUGUUCAUCAACCCAUUUUCAUACAACAUGAGAAAAUGCAAAAUUACAUGAUUAUGAUAAUCACUAACCCCCUUACCUUAGAAGUUGAUUAUCCUUAACCCUAGCUUCACUUCAGCUCCUAGGUCACCCACUUGAUUCCUCAAGCUUCCCCUCCAACACUCUUGUUCUUCUCUUCACUCUAUCUCUCUCUACCUCUCCUUCUCUCUAGGAAAAUGUUUU